rnacentral:lncRNA from 1 species
UAUAAUAGGAUAAUUAUGGUAAUUGAUCAAUUAAUAAGAUAAAUAAUCGUGAGGUGCCACAUAAUAUUCUUACAACAAGAAAAUAAAAGAAGAGAUGAAAAGUUAGAGAAAGCUUAUGGAUGAUGGUGGUGGUCACGCUACUUGGAGUGGUGGGAGACUAAAAAAAGAGAACACUCAAAACUGACUAAACACAAGAUGAUCAAUGGUGAAGAGUUGUCACUUGAAGUGCACAACACCCAAGAUAAGAUCCAAAAAGAGAGCACUCAAGACUUACUAAACACUCUGACAUAGUUUUUUUUC